AUUUGGACCCAGGUUUACUGAAGAACUGGAACAACACAGAGAAGAUUAGUAUGACCCUUAUUUAAGGAUGAUGAUAAAUGAAGAGAUCCAAAAUUUU
ensembl:snRNA U6 U6 spliceosomal RNA